rnacentral:rRNA from 1 species
ACGCGAAAGUGGAGCAAUCCAUGAGUAGAGUGGCAAACGGGUGAGUAACGCGUGGGCGACCUACCUCAGAGUGGGGGAUAACCUUCCGAAAGGAGGGCUAAUACCGCAUGACAUUCCGUCUUUAGAUAGACGGGUAUCAAAGCCGGGGAUCGCAAGACCUGGCGCUUGGAGAGGGGCCCGCGUCCGAUUAGCUAGUUGGUGAGGUAACGGCUCACCAAGGCUCCGAUCGGUAUCCGGCCUGAGAGGGCGGACGGACACACUGGGACUGAGACACGGCCCAGACUCCUACGGGAGGCAGCAGUGGGGAAUUGUUCGCAAUGGGCGCAAGCCUGACGACGCAACGCCGCGUGGAGGAUGAAGACCUUCGGGUCGUAAACUCCUUUCGACCGAGAUGAAUACCCAUCGACCUAACACGUCGAUGGGCCGACAGUAUCGAGGGAAGAAGCCCCGGCUAACUCCGUGCCAGCAGCCGCGGUAAUACGGGGGGGGCAAGCGUUGUUCGGAAUUACUGGGCGUAAAGGGUUCGUAGGUGGCUUGCUAAGUCAGACGUGAAAUCCCUCAGCUCAACUGGGGAACUGCGUCUGAGACUGGCGAGCUUGAGUGCAGGAGAGGAAUGCGGAAUUCCAGGUGUAGCGGUGAAAUGCGUAGAUAUCUGGAGGA